UACGGGAGGCAGCAGUGGGGAAUAUUGCACAAUGGGCGAAAGCCUGAUGCAGCUAUGCCGCGUGUAUGAAGAAGGCCUUAGGGUUGUAAAGUACUUUCAUCGGGGAGGAAAAAACAAAACUAAUAAUUUUAUUUCUUGACGUUACCCGAAAAAGAAGCACCGGCUAACUCCGUGCCAGCAGCCGCGGUAAUACGGAGGGUGCUAGCGUUAAUCAGAAUUACUGGGCGUAAAGAGCACGUAGGUGGUUUUUUUAAGUCAGAUGUGAAAUCCCUGGGCUUAACCUGGAACUGCAUUUUGAAACUGAAAUACUAGAGUAUCGUAGAGGGAGGUAGAAUUCUAGGUGUAGCGGUGAAAUGCGUAGAUAUCUGGAGGAAUACCUGUGGCGAAAGCGGCCUCCUAAACGAAUACUGACACUGAGGUGCGAAAGCGUGGGGAGUAAACAGGGAUUAGAUACC
rnacentral:rRNA from 1 species